rnacentral:tRNA from 1 species
GCGUCUGUAGCUCAGUUGGAUAGAGCGAGCGCCUCCUAAGCGCUAGGCCACAAGUUCGAUUCUUGUCAGGCGCACCA